rnacentral:rRNA from 1 species
GAUUCCUUACGGGAGGCAGCAGUAGGGAAUCUUCGGCAAUGGACGAAAGUCUGACCGAGCAACGCCGCGUGAGUGAAGAAGGUUUUCGGAUCGUAAAACUCUGUUGUUAGAGAAGAACAAGGGUGAGAGUAACUGUUCACCCCUUGACGGUAUCUAACCAGAAAGCCACGGCUAACUACGUGCCAGCAGCCGCGGUAAUACGUAGGUGGCAAGCGUUGUCCGGAUUUAUUGGGCGUAAAGCGAGCGCAGGCGGUUUCUUAAGUCUGAUGUGAAAGCCCCCGGCUCAACCGGGGAGGGUCAUUGGAAACUGGGAGACUUGAGUGCAGAAGAGGAGAGUGGAAUUCCAUGUGUAGCGGUGAAAUGCGUAGAUAUAUGGAGGAACACCAGUGGCGAAGGCGGCUCUCUGGUCUGUAACUGACGCUGAGGCUCGAAAGCGUGGGGAGCAAACAGGAUUAGAUACCCUGGUAGUCCACGCCGUAAACGAUGAGUGCUAAGUGUUGGAGGGUUUCCGCCCUUCAGUGCUGCAGCUAACGCAUAAGCACUCCGCCUGGGAGACCCCCAC